rnacentral:rRNA from 1 species
UACGAAGGGGGCUAGCGUUGCUCGGAAUCACUGGGCGUAAAGCGCACGUAGGCGGGGCUUUAAGUCAGGGGUGAAAUCCUGGAGCUCAACUCCAGAACUGCCUUUGAUACUGAGGAUCUCGAGUCCGGGAGAGGUGAGUGGAACUCCGAGUGUAGAGGUGAAAUUCGUAGAUAUUCGCAAGAACACCAGUGGCGAAGGCGGCUCACUGGCCCGAUACUGACGCUGAGGCACGAAAGCGUGGGGAGCGAACAGG